GAUAAACGCUGGCGGCGUGCCUAAUACAUGCAAGUCGAGCGAACGGACGAGAAGCUUGCUUCUCUGAUGUUAGCGGCGGACGGGUGAGUAACACGUGGAUAACCUACCUAUAAGACUGGGAUAACUUCGGGAAACCGGAGCUAAUACCGGAUAAUAUUUUGAACCGCAUGGUUCAAAAGUGAAAGACGGUCUUGCUGUCACUUAUAGAUGGAUCCGCGCUGCAUUAGCUAGUUGGUAAGGUAACGGCUUACCAAGGCAACGAUGCAUAGCCGACCUGAGAGGGUGAUCGGCCACACUGGAACUGAGACACGGUCCAGACUCCUACGGGAGGCAGCAGUAGGGAAUCUUCCGCAAUGGGCGAAAGCCUGACGGAGCAACGCCGCGUGAGUGAUGAAGGUCUUCGGAUCGUAAAACUCUGUUAUUAGGGAAGAACAUAUGUGUAAGUAACUGUGCACAUCUUGACGGUACCUAAUCAGAAAGCCACGGCUAACUACGUGCCAGCAGCCGCGGUAAUACGUAGGUGGCAAGCGUUAUCCGGAAUUAUUGGGCGUAAAGCGCGCGUAGGCGGUUUUUUAAGUCUGAUGUGAAAGCCCACGGCUCAACCGUGGAGGGUCAUUGGAAACUGGAAAACUUGAGUGCAGAAGAGGAAAGUGGAAUUCCAUGUGUAGCGGUGAAAUGCGCAGAGAUAUGGAGGAACACCAGUGGCGAAGGCGACUUUCUGGUCUGUAACUGACGCUGAUGUGCGAAAGCGUGGGGAUCAAACAGGAUUAGAUACCCUGGUAGUCCACGCCGUAAACGAUGAGUGCUAAGUGUUAGGGGGUUUCCGCCCCUUAGUGCUGCAGCUAACGCAUUAAGCACUCCGCCUGGGGAGUACGACCGCAAGGUUGAAACUCAAAGGAAUUGACGGGGACCCGCACAAGCGGUGGAGCAUGUGGUUUAAUUCGAAGCAACGCGAAGAACCUUACCAAAUCUUGACAUCCUUUGACAACUCUAGAGAUAGAGCCUUCCCCUUCGGGGGACAAAGUGACAGGUGGUGCAUGGUUGUCGUCAGCUCGUGUCGUGAGAUGUUGGGUUAAGUCCCGCAACGAGCGCAACCCUUAAGCUUAGUUGCCAUCAUUAAGUUGGGCACUCUAAGUUGACCGCCGGUGACAAACCGGAGGAAGGUGGGGAUGACGUCAAAUCAUCAUGCCCCUUAUGAUUUGGGCUACACACGUGCUACAAUGGACAAUACAAAGGGCAGCGAAACCGCGAGGUCAAGCAAAUCCCAUAAAGUUGUUCUCAGUUCGGAUUGUAGUCUGCAACUCGACUACAUGAAGCUGGAAUCGCUAGUAAUCGUAGAUCAGCAUGCUACGGUGAAUACGUUCCCGGGUCU
rnacentral:rRNA from 1 species